AGAGUUUGAUCCUGGCUCAGGACGAACGCUGGCGGCGUGCUUCACACAUGCAAGUCGAACGGGGUCCAACUAGUGGCAACACUCAGGAAGAUCUAGUGGCGAACGGGUGCGUAACACGUGAGGAACCUACCCCGGACUCUGGAAUAACAGCGGGAAACCGCUGCUAAUACUGGAUAUCGUCGCACGGUCGCAUGGCCGAGUGACGAAAGAUUUAUCGGUUCGGGACGGUCUCGCGGCCUAUCAGCUUGUUGGCGGGGUAACGGCCCACCAAGGCAUCGACGGGUAGCUGGUCUGAGAGGAUGAUCAGCCACACUGGGACUGAGACACGGCCCAGACUCCUACGGGAGGCAGCAGUGGGGAAUCUUGCGCAAUGGGCGAAAGCCUGACGCAGCAACGCCGCGUGGGGGAUGAAGGCUCUCGGGUUGUAAACCCCUUUCAGCAGGAACGAAAAUGACGGUACCUGCAGAAGAAGGCCCGGCCAACUACGUGCCAGCAGCCGCGGUAAUACGUAGGGGCCAAGCGUUGUCCGGAUUUAUUGGGCGUAAAGAGCUCGUAGGCGGUUUGGAUAGUCGGGUGUGAAAACUCCGAGCUCAACUCGGAGACGCCACCCGAUACUGCCACGACUAGAGUCCGGUAGGGGAGCAGGGAAUUCCUGGUGUAGCGGUGAAAUGCGCAGAUAUCAGGAGGAACACCGGUGGCGAAGGCGCUGCUCUGGGCCGGUACUGACGCUGAGGAGCGAAAGCGUGGGUAGCAAACAGGAUUAGAUACCCUAGUAGUCC
rnacentral:rRNA from 1 species